ACGGGGGGGGCAAGCGUUGUUCGGAAUUACUGGGCGUAAAGGGCUCGUAGGCGGCCAACUAAGUCAGUUGUGAAAUCCCUCGGCUUAACCGGGGAAUUGCGUCUGAUACUGGAUGGCUUGAGUUUGGGAGAGGGAUGCGGAAUUCCAGGUGUAGCGGUGAAAUGCGUAGAUAUCUGGAGGAACACCGGUGGCGAAGGCGGCAUCCUGGACCAACACUGACGCUGAGGUGCGAAAGCGUGGGGAGCAAACAGGA
rnacentral:rRNA from 1 species